rnacentral:lncRNA from 1 species
AUUUUAAUUUAUAAUUUUUAGUUUUAAUUUUGAAAAUGAAAAAAAAAGAAAGAAAAGUAAACUGAAAAAAAUAAAGAAACAAAGAGGAAGAGCCAGCCUUCAUAAUUCUCAGCCCAAACGGAACUCCAGCCCAACUACACCCAUUCACCCAGACCCACGCCACAAACCCUUCUGUUAAACCGACCCGGCCCCAAAUUUUGAUACAAACGCACAAGACAGCCCUAAUCUCCAAAACCCGACUGUGCACUAUUCUUCUUCUCCGAAGAGGAACACGAACCAUCCCUCAAUUUCAGUCCAAAUCCAAGCGAGUGAGCCUCAAAUCUCUCCUGACGUGUUCCUCCUUCUCUCCUCAUCACCAUUUCUAACGAUUUCUGACACCGAAGAUUCUCCUUCCCUUCACUCGCUUAACUUGGAGAUAAGGCACGUGAUUGGAAGGUCCUAGCGACGAUUCGUUGGAUGAGUGUGAGACGUUGGAUUGAUUUCGUUCAUCCAAGCCCCACAUUCAUCAUGUGUUCGUUUUUAUAAAGGACCAUAUCCGAUUUUGGAAAAGGAUUUUUUUUAGGGGAGUCUGAGAGAUUUUCGGAAAAGAUUUUGAGAGAUGUUUUUUUUUUUCUUCUUCAGUUUUAUUGGUUCUUUGAUUUAUGAUAAUGGAAUAACACAAAAAUCACUGAGGGAACUGAUUUUUUAGAGGAAUUUGCAAAGAGAUUCGAGGGUUCAUUGCUGGUUGAUUCACUGUUCUUUGCAUAGCUGUUUGUUCCAGCUUUCUGAUUUCAGCUCCUGCUGGGUUUCUCUAGUUGUUUUACUGUUAUUAAGGCAGGUGCUUUCAAUCUCAAAUAAUGUAAUGGCUAUUCGGAUGUUGAUCGAGUCCUGCUUCAUCUUUGUUUUAAAGCAGUCUCUAGUUUGGAUUUGCUUAUUGGGAAUUUGUUCAAUGGAGUCCCAGCGUGAUUCUUGAUUCCAUAUUGCUCUUAGAAUGCUUUUGAUGUCUUUUUUCAGAAUUUAUAAUUGCUCAAGCAAUAUUGUUCAUAUUCCAUAUUGUUCAUAUUGGACAAGAGGGGUUGCUCGGGUCUAUUUGGAAACAGCCUCUCUACCCAAGGGUAGGGGUAAGGUUACAAACUACCCUCCCCAAACCCCGCUAAGUGGGAUUAUACUGUGUUGUUGUUGUUGUUGUUGUUGUUGUUGUUGUUGUUGUUGUUGUUGUUGUUGUAUAAUUGCUCAAACAAAGCAUAUUUCUAGUUAAAAUUCAUAUUAUGAAGGUUCAGUUGCGGGUUCGAGUUGUUGUUAUUUUCUACAUUUUUGUUUAUUUCCGAUAUAAAUCAGUGUGUUUGAGCUCAAUAUGUGUUUGGAACAUCAUGCGGGGUCGGCUUUGCUUUCUUUUGGUUUGGAUGAUUGAAGUUUGAAUCGAGUCUGUAUACGAGGUGCAAUGUCUGUUUGUCGAAUUAGUGGCCUUUGCAGCACUUCUCACACGUCUUUAAUGCAAUACAAACUUAUGAAAUUAUUACCAGUUGUCUUUUGUUGCUGUUAUGUUGCCUAGUUAAUGGUAUUUACCAAGACCUACUACAAAUACUCGAAGACAAACGAUUCAAUGCUUGUUCUAAAGCAGUCUGGUCUAAACUUCAUCUUCCAAGUAGAAUUGAUUUAAAUUUCAAUAAUAGCUUAUUAAGGUUUGGUUCAUUCUCGUCCUGUUUGGUUUAGCUUUGCAUUCGCGUGGAUUGUUCACCUCGUCUUGGUCCGUAGAACUGCUGUAGAAAUGCUUCCGCUGUUAUUUUUCCUAUUCUUGCCUGUUGAUUAGCUAGUUCUUCUGUUGAUAUUUCGUCGUUUGUUUUUCU